rnacentral:rRNA from 1 species
UACGUAGGGUGCGAGCGUUAAUCGGAAUUACUGGGCGUAGAGCGUGCGCAGGCGGUUCGUUGUGUCGGCGGUGAAAUCCCCGGGCUCAACCUGGGAAUGGCCGUUGAAACUGGCGAACUGGAGUGUGGCAGAGGGGGGUGGAAUUCCGCGUGUAGCAGUGAAAUGCGUAGAGAUGUGGAGGAAUACCGAUGGCGAAGGCAGCCCCCUGGGCCAAUACUGACGCUCAUGCACGAAAGCGUGGGGAGCAAACAGG